rnacentral:tRNA from 2 species
GGCUGGGUAGCUCAGUGGUUAGAGCGGUCGUCUCAUAAGCGACAGGUCGGGAGUUCGAUCCUCCCCCCCGCCA